GAACGCNGGCGGCGUGGAUAAGACAUGCAAGUCGUGCGACAGACCAGGAAUUGAUUACUUCGGUUUGAUUUUCCUGACGAUGAGCGGCGAACGGGUGCGUAACACGUGAGAAAUCUGCCCUUAAGUUCGGAAUAGCCCUACGAAAGUAGAAUUAAUACCGGAUGUGGCCCAGGGAGGGCAUCUUCCCCUGGCUAAAGCUUGACCAGCAAUGGUUAGAGCGCUUUUGGAUGAUCUCGCGGUCUAUCAGCUUGUUGGUGAGGUAACGGCUCACCAAGGCUUUGACGGAUAGCUGGUCUGAGAGGAUGAUCAGCCUCACUGGAACUGAGACACGGUCCAGACACCUACGGGUGGCAGCAGUCGAGAAUCAUUCACAAUGGGCGCAAGCCUGAUGGUGCGACGCCGCGUGGGGGAUGAAGGGCUUCGGUUCGUAAACCCCUGUCAUCUGUGAGUAAGACUCCCAAUAAAAGCUUGGGAGGUUGAUAUUAGCAGAAGAGGAAGGGACGGCUAACUCUGUGCCAGCAGCCGCGGUAAUACAGAGGUCCCAAGCGUUGUUCGGAUUUACUGGGCGUAAAGGGUGCGUAGGCGGCUAGAAAAGUUUGGUGUGAAAUCUUCGGGCUCAACCCGGAAACUGCACUGAAAACUAUCUGGCUAGAGGAUCGGAGAGGAGAUUGGAAUUCUCGGUGUAGCAGUGAAAUGCGUAGAUAUCGAGAGGAACACCAGUUGCGAAGGCGGAUCUCUGGACGGUUCCUGACGCUGAGGCACGAAAGCUGGGGUAGCGAAGAGGAUUAGAUACCCUCGUAGUCCCAGCCGUAAACGGUGCACACUUGCUGUGGGCGGAUUCGACCCCGUCCGUGGCGAAGCUAACGCGAUAAGUGUGCCGCCUGGGGAGUACGGUCGCAAGANUAA
rnacentral:rRNA from 1 species